GCCUCACUUCGAGCAGCAGCUGAGGCAGCGCCCGACGUGGGGGAAGGGGGUCAGUGUUUCCCCUGGACGCCGAGGCAGGCAUCGGCGAGCGUCUCCGUAGUGGUGGCGGUGGUGGUGGUGGAAGAGGAGGUGGAGGAUGUGAGGUGGAUACAGUGGUUUUUGUUGAGCACGGCGUCCCAGUAACAGUCCCCGUCGCCAUACACGUUGACAGCGCGAUCGUAGAGGAAGGGCGGCAGCCAGAUGACGGCCACGAGACACCACGUGCCCAGGAUGAUGUACAGAGACUUGCGAGUGGAGUUGUGGUUGCGAUAGUGAAGAGACCACGUGACGCUCCACAGGCGGUCUAUGCUGCAGUACCCUGAGCCCCACCACAACCGUCUCUCCAUGCAAGUGCAAGGGGUGAUGCACUUGACUGGCUAACUCCACAUCAAGAUGGGCAACAAUCAGACCACAAGUGAGCACAGAGGACUGAAAGCACUCCAUUGGGAUCCCUUGCAAUAACAAAAGACUUCGCGAGUAUUUGGGGAACGCCAGUUGCGAACACCACUUGGCGGCUCGCGGGUGGCCUAGCUGGUGGGGGAAGUGUUGCUGGGACUUGGAUUGUCCACCAGCAUCUUCAUCAAGUAGCUAUCCAGGGGUGUAUCUCCAAUGAGCUGCAACAAUUAAGGUUGUCAACACUGAGGGAUUUUAUACAAGUAGCAGUAAGCAGUGAUGCCUGAAGCUACUGAAACCAUCUAUGGCACUAAGGACCAGUACGUAAGUUUUACCUUGAAGAAGAAGAGGUAUUCAAGACACUUGAGUCCAAUGGACCUGAGUGAAGGGAGUCGGAGCAGCAGCUUGGGGAAGCGGCCGGGCUCAUCUGGGUAGGUGGUGCGUGUGUACUCCUCAAGGGCAGCAUACACUUUCUCACGCAGGAUCUCCACAUCGCUGCAGCAGGUUGCAAGCAGGCUUGGUGUGCCCAUGCACCUGUCACUAGUGCUGACGACCCCAACAAGUUGCCCACCUGGGUUGAACAGGACAAUGGCGCGGAGACAACCCAAUUCUGUCUUAUCCAUCUUCAUUUCUUUCAUCUUGGACACCAGCUCAGACAAGACACGGUCAAAUAUGGCUCCCACCCCAGCCUGACUAGCACACAAAGUAAGGGUGCCGCUGGUGGAGCUAAAUGAGUGCCAUCUGAAUUUAUAAACAAAACACAACAUUCCAGAGACUCACCACAAGGCCUGUGGCCAGCACAAUGCCAUCCUCUACUCCCAUGCUGCGGUGUGAGAAUGAAGCAAUGAGCAACUCAUUCCAGCCUGUGAGGGGAAGCAAAAAAGGCAUUGGGUACUACAAGGCUGAGGACUCAGUGAUGCAGUCAACAACAGUGCAGUGAGGCUGAGACAAUACAUCAUAACUCUACUGAAUUUUCUCUGUUAAAAAGAUUUAUCAGCUAUGAUGUUGAGAGUCUCUUCUUCUCAUGAAGACUAGCUGUGGCUCUUCGAGUCUUAAGGUUUAUUACAUGUGCUUGAUACACAUCUAAGAGACUUUGUGUAGAUGCAUUUAGUGUCUCUCCAAAGACACUUUUGAAAAUUCUUUUGAAAUAUGUAUUGUAUAUAUAUUCUAAACUGCCAUGAAUGAAUUAUGUUCAAGUUUAUACCUGUGCAUGCAAAACUGGGAUAGAAAAUAUUAUGCAGUGGUACACAGUGUACCACACCACUUUUAACAAUUUUAGAUAGACAAGAGGGAAUCCCCAGUUUAGUUGCCUUUCACUACACACAUGCACGUCCCCCUUGAUACCAAACAUAAAAGCAUAAAACAGUUUGCUUCACAACUGUGGUACAGUCCCCUCCACUUCUAUAUUCAUCACUUAAGCAUUGCCAAUGUGUCAACUGCCUAUUGUGAAUUGUUCUGCCUGAUUCAACUUGUAUUCAGUCAGUACAAGUAAGCAGGAGAGUGAUGGAGGAAGAGUGGCAGGAUUUGUUUCGGAUACAGGUCAAAGCAGGCAGUCUCACAGCGGUAAUUCACACUGACAAUGCUGUGAUGAACGUGGAAAUGGAGGGUACCAGACACAUGCUGCUGAAACACUCAAGGCAAAAACAAAAUGGAGUGAGGGGGACAGGAGAUUCCUAUUUCACUAAUAUGAGAGAUGACAAUGUCAUACUGUCAGCCAAGAUUUAAAAUUGUACUGUACUAAGAAAUUGGGGGAUUUGGCAUUUAUCACUGAGCAACAAUAAUUUAAUUUAUUGUCUUUGACCUUUAAAAGUUUGGUCCUUUACAGUGCUAAUGUGCGAGUAGUCAGCAGAGUAACUCACCAGCCUUGAGUAAUACAACUUGGUCUUCUAUGGGAAGGUCUGUGAAGUGUGGGAUAUGUUUGGCCCACUCCACCAGCUGCACCAGAUGUCGAUCAGCUGCCUGGCAGAUAUUGCUUACCACAUCCUGCUGAAGGGAUUGAAAACUUAGAAUUUUUCAGGAUACUCCUUCACAUUUCACAUUCACCAUUGAAAAAUAACACCUAUUCUUCUUCUAUAGAAAAAAAAACUCAAAAUCCAAGCAGCAGUUUUCAUAAAUAUUGGAAAUGGGAUUUGUUGCCCAUCUAUCUACCUAGAAGAAUUCUGGGAACAAAUCCUAUCUACUUUUAAUUCAAAGAAACCAAUGUUGCUAUCUGUUUUAUUUGAACAACCUUCACUAACAUUUCAUCUUAUGUAAAAAUGGUUAAACAUCUAGAGGGAAGCUUCAGACCAAACAGCAAACAUGAUCCAUAAUCAAUAUAGAGAGCUUGGUACUGCAAGAUUUGCAGUUCUACAUUGCUGCAAGUUGAGGCCUAAGGAGAUGUGAGAAUAUAAGAUACAGAUGAUAUAUAUAUAUACAUAAUGGUACCAUAAUGCAUGGGGCUAAGGAAUGCUACAUAUAUAAAUAGAUGCAUAGAUGCAAUCAGUGUACACUAAGUUUGCAAAACCAAAAAGCAGCACACAGGACACAGCACAGGUUAAUACUUUAAAAUCUUGACAAACAAAGAUGGAGCUCAAGCACUAAAACUCAAAAAGUUAGUCAUCUUACCACUGGAUUAACGUUGUUAACUUCACUGACAGAAUGAAAAGGUAAUGCAAAGCUACUCUUUUCACUUAUAUCAAUGGUCUCAGGUGCUGCGAGUGGAACUUGACAAAGGUUGGAAGGCCUCACCCCUUGGUCCAGUGGCUGCUCGUCGAUGGGAUCCACGCUGAGCUCAGCCUCCCGGAUGCUGGCAAUGGGCAUGUCCGAGAUGGCGCCACAGGAGGAUUCUGUGUCCCCGUCUCCUUUGUCACCUUUUGUCCUCUGACGCUCCUCCUGAAAAAUUCACACAAGCCAUGGAGGAAAUGCCACACAAACCAUCUCCAACACAACACUGCCACAGUCAAGUCUUGGCACCCAUGGCUAUGAGAAAGCAUUGGUAGACAAGUAAUGGAAUCAGUAAGUGAAUGGUGAUAUGAUGACUCCCCAUGUACCAUGUGCAAAUUGGGUGGGGUAUGCACAAGUCAUGCAUGCAACAAAAAGGGAUUGAUGCCUGCCCACGGCAGAACAAGGAAGCCCACCUCUACUGCCCCUA